rnacentral:misc_RNA from 1 species
GUCUACCACCGGGAUGUUCAUAACCCUUUGUUGUCCGACUCUGUUGCCUCCGGGGCGACCCUGCCUUCGGGCGGGGGCUCCGGGUGGACACUUCAAACUCUUGCGUAACUUUGCAGUCUGAGUAAACUUAAUUAAUAAAUUAAAACUUUUAACAACGGAUCUCUUGGUUCUGGCAUCGAUGAAGAACGCAGCGAAAUGCGAUAAGUAAUGUGAAUUGCAGAAUUCAGUGAAUCAUCGAAUCUUUGAACGCACAUUGCGCCCCCUGGUAUUCCGGGGGGCAUGCCUGUUCGAGCGUCAUUUCACCACUCAAGCCUCGCUUGGUAUUGGGCAUCGCGGUCCGCCGCGUGCCUCAAAUCGACCGGCUUGGGUCUUCUGUCCCCUAAGCGUUGUGGAAACUAUUCGCUAAAGGGUGUUCGGGAGGCUACGCCGUAAAACAACCCCAUUUCUAAGGUUGACCUCGGAUCAGGUAGGGAUACCCGCUGAACUUAAGCAUAUCAAUAAGCGGAGGAAA